UACGUAGGGUGCAAGCGUUGUCCGGAAUUAUUGGGCGUAAAGAGCUCGUAGGUGGUGUGUUGCGUCGCCUGUGAAAGCCCGGGGCUUAACUCCGGGUCUGCAGGCGAUACGGGCACACUUGAGGGUAGCAGGGGAGACUGGAAUUCCUGGUGUAGCGGUGAAAUGCGCAGAUAUCAGGAGGAACACCGGUGGCGAAGGCGGGUCUCUGGGCUAUACCUGACACUGAGGAGCGAAAGCGUGGGGAGCGAACAGG
rnacentral:rRNA from 1 species